rnacentral:rRNA from 1 species
UACAGAGGCCUCGAGCGUUAGGCGGAAUCACUGGGCUUAAAGCGUGUGUAGGCGGAUCGGUAAGUACCUUGUGAAAUCCCACGGCUUAACUGUGGAACUGCUGGGUAUACUGCCAGUCUUGAGCCACUCAGGGGCUACCGGAACAAAUGGUGGAGCGGUGAAAUGCGUAGAUAUCAUUUGGAACGCCAAUGGUGAAAACAGGUAGCUGGGGGUGUGCUGACGCUGAGACACGAAAGCCAGGGGAGCAAACGGG